AAGUAGUCAAUCACUAAACGAACGUCGUACCAGAAGGGAACCAGCCCGAUAUUUGUUUGUACCAAAUAUUCAAACUAUAGUGAAGGUACUAUUUCAGACAGAACAACGAACAUGGAGGACAGACCGGGGCAAGUUGGAGCAUUUCUCCACUGGCUGAACGACGACGGAACGUUGGUUAAGGCGAACCGCCACCGAGUUGCCCUCUCGACAUAGUGUGAAGAUAUCAUCCAUGUUUACACUGGGCUGUUCCUUGAAAUCCCGUUUGGAGUCUGGGACGUGCAGCUUUAAAUGCGG